GCCCCACCCGGACUAUCUCCUCCCCAAGACCCGCCAGGGUGCCCCACCCCAUACCCCCAGCAGGCCUCACCUGGUCAGAGUCAGGUAAGCGUCGGUCUGCUCUCCAUGGGAGGCGAAAGGGUCUUCCAAAGUCUCCAACAGCGGCACGAAGGGGCUGUGGCCCGGGGCCGUCAUGUCGGCCCCUCCCUGAAGCCCGGACCGGAAGAGGAGACAAUCCAGUGACCGAUGGAAACAGCUCCGCGACGGCCCCGCAUAUCAAUGGCAGUCUCAUUAUCCUUUGGUAAUUCUGGAAUUUCCACCAAGAUUGUUUUAAAAACUCGUUUGGCAGUAUUCCAGAUGCUUUCUCAAUUUCUGGUGACCCCUGAGUGUUUGCUCAUACUUAAGAAUUGGAAGUAAAAAAAGGAAGACCCAGAGUACACAGAAGCAAGCUGCCAUGUUGUAAGCUACCCUAUGGAGAAGUCUACAUGGCAAGGAACUGAGGGAGACCUCCCACCAGCAGCCAGUGAGGAACUCUGGCCGUCAUUCCAACAGCCUGUGAGGAACUGAAUCUUGCCAACAACCAUGAGAAUAAGCUUGGACAUGGAUCCUUCCCCAGGUCAAGCCUUGAGAUGAUGGCAGCCCAAAUCAACACCUUCAUUGAAGCCUUGUAAGAGAAAAGACGACUUCUUUUUGAGUAGCUGUAAUGACAGCCUAGCUGCAGACAAGGAGGCUUUGUCCUCUGAAGGAGAUGGCAUGAAAGACAGGAACUGCUGUUGUCCUGUCUACCAUGGAUGUCAAGAAAUGCCUUUCCUUCUACUCAUGAACCUAGGCCACCAGGCUGGCAAACAGGAAGAGGCCCUGUGCUCCCUGGCUGAACCACACAGUACACAGUACCCUGACUCUGCUCCCUCUUUGUUCUUUAGGGAACUGGUUAGUCUACAGCCUUUCUAUUCAAAGUAUAGUCCAAGACCCAGUGCCAUCACGCCAUCAGCCUCACCAAGCAACGUUCAAAAUGAAGAACUUCCACCUCAAACCUAUGGAACCAGGAUCUGCUUUUUUUUUUUUGGCCGUGCCACAUGGCUUGUAGGAUUUCAGCUCCCCAACCAGGGAUUGAACCCGGGCCCCAGCAGUGAAAGCUCUGAGUCCUAACCACUGGACCACCAGGGAAUUCCCAGGAUCUACAUGUUAACAAGAUCCCCAGCUGAUUCGGAUGGGCAUUAAAGUUUGACAAGCACUGGUCUAUAGGAGGUCCUCUUACCCACAGACACAUUUUCCCUUUCUGGUGAGUUUGGGACACGAUUCAACAGAAAUCAUACACUAUACUGAGAUAUAUCUUAGUAGAAAUUAUGCCCCUACAUAUACCUAGGUACACUAAGAACAAAUUGAAAACAAAUUUAUCUUAAAAAGUUGAGUUCUUUGCCUGAUAUGU